UUUUGUUGGUUGGUUUUUUGGUUUUCUUGUUUGUUUGGGUUUUUGUUUGUUUGUUUUGCUCCUUUUAAAGAGAGCAAGAACCUGGAGCUGAACGAGGAGUCUGGCUGCAUCCAGGGUGGGGCAUGGUAGAGCCUGCUGCAUCCUAGACCUCAGACAUCGCCUGCCAAAUGAAGUUUUCUAAGUCAGGUCCACGAGAACAGAAAGUCUUCUAACAAUAGAAGAGGGAACAUUUGCAACAUUAAAGGAAGGCAGGCGAUGUUGGGCUCUUGGCCAAGUCUGAUGAUGCCCAUUCCCACGAGAGGACACCCUAAAAGAUGAGAGAACAAUUAAGGACAUUGACUGUUUUUUUUCCUCUUUAAGGCAAGAACUUAACCAAUUUACUGGAAUUUUUAAAAGAAUUUACUAGAAAAAACACAAGCCAAUAACCUCAUAAACCAUUAGGUACUGUUUCUGGAAGGGCAGCUGUAAGUGCAUGGUCUAUGUCCAAUUUUGCUGUCAUCUUGGAAUGGGAAGAACGUUGGAAUGACAAGUUAGAUUGAAAAGCUGUUAAAAGCCAGAAAAAUAACGAGUGCCUAAUCCAUAAAUGGAAAACUGUCAGUCCCUUAUGUCUUUAUACGACUUGGUUUGAUGGUAAUUCAAGCAAAACUUCUGUGUUUUCAACCAGCCCUUAAUGGCAAAGAAAAUAAACCAUCCGGAGAAAAGGAGUCAUAAGAGGAACAAUGUAUCUCCAUUUAGUGUCUGCGGAGAGUAAAUUUGGGUAAUAGAAUUUAUUUAGGAGGAGAGGAAAUCUGAACAAAGAGAUGAUAUGAAGUUGCAGAAGUGAAAGCUGGAUUGUGCUUUUGGAGGUGAAACCCUCUUGGUUCACGACCAUGACCUUCAAUGACCUUGCUGUGGCCACUGUACUGGAAUGUGGAUGGCAGCAAACAAGGCUGAGGGGGACCCUGUUUACCACCUCUGCUUCCUCUUUCCAGCCUGCUCUGCUCAGUCGUCGAGGGUUUGUCUCUGCGUCAUUGGUCUCCUAGGCUAAGAGGGCUGUUUCAAAGCUGGGGUUUCCAGGGCUUUCCUUUCUCCCCGCUGAGAUCUGGGAACCCCCAUGAAGUCUAAAUGGCAACUGGAGGUUGUCAGUUACAUCAGGGGAAAGCCUCAGAGACACAAGUAAUGUGUAAAAGCCACUGCAGCAUGGAAGCCCACAGAUACCCUCUGAUUCCUGGCUCCAGCACUGCGGGGCCCCCCGCUGUCAGGCCAUAAAAAACGACUGUGAACAGCAAGCCUGGGGAUGCAGACGUGCAUCACCAACUCACAGCGGUCCUAGGAACACAAGCUUUUGAUGUCUUGGAAAAUGCAUCUUGCUGAGCAGUUUUGAGUAUUACCACAAGUAGAUCAGAGAGCUGUUUUCUUCUCCAUUUAUUUCAAUGCAGCCUUGACCAUGUAGCUGGGGAUUGUUAGAUCCUCAGAAAUUAGGCGGGCUCCAUCAAGUUUGCUGAGGCUCUGCUCUGUGCAUCCUGCCCCUGCCAGCCAUCCGGGUUUCUUUUAUUGCUGCUCACGUGGAGGGGCUCAAAAGACACAGACACUUGCUGGCUGCAAAAGGUAUUCACAGUUCCCAGAAAGCCAAGUUAGAAGAGCAUACGGUGGUGAUGUUGAAAAGAGGAUUGGUGCGGGGCUCUGAGCUGGGGCUCUGAUCUUGACUGUGCUAUGACUGACCGGAAUGACCUUGGGGAAGUCACGCCUGUCACUUCUUAGGUGUUCGGAGACCAGAGACUGAGAGGAAUGACUGUUGCGUUAAUGAUUACAGCAGUGGCUGCCAAUUCACUAAUGGGUGGAACAUGUAAUUAGAGCUUGAGGACUUAGCUCUGGUCAUGACUGUACCACUUACCAUGGCCUUGAACACAUCCUCCACCCUCUUGGGAAGGAGGCACUAUGCUCUGUGAUUAGGAGCUUGAGAUAUAGAGCCAGACUGCCUGGGUUCAAAUCCCAGUUCCGCCACUGACUAGCUACUUGUUUUGGGGUCUGCAGAGUUGAGGCCUUGUGACAGAGACCAUAUGGCCUUUUACAGAAAAGUUUGAUGAUCCUGGUUCUAGACUAUGUCUCACCCUUACAACCACCGGCUGGAGGAAAUGCAUCAUUAAAGUCGCUGCAUUAUUUAUCAGAGAGGCUAAUGAAAUCAUAACUACAGUAAGUGAAGACACGCAGUACUGCACUGGUUUGGAACACUGCCUACAAAAGCCCAGUCAAUCACCGUGGGACUGGUGCCUUUUAUACUUCAGCUUGUCAAGCCGAAAGCAUUGCAGUCUUUGUGUAAAGGCCUCAGAGUUCUUGACUCUCCCCAAGCUCCUGUUUUUUUAAGAUUGAAAUUCCCUGGUUACCCUGUUCCUAGACAUGGCUCAUCUCUGGGGUCCUUCAUACUGGACAGAUAGGGCUCCACGCCCGGCGUGGAGCUCAACAUGGGGCUUGAAC